UACGUAGGGUGCGAGCGUUAAUCGGAAUUACUGGGCGUAAAGCGUGCGCAGGCGGUUUCGUAAGCCAGAUGUGAAAUCCCCGGGCUUAACCUGGGAACUGCAUUUGGGACUGCGAGGCUAGAGUACGGCAGAGGGAGGUGGAAUUCCACGUGUAGCAGUGAAAUGCGUAGAUAUGUGGAGGAAUACCGAUGGCGAAGGCAGCCCCCUGGGUCGACACUGACGUUCAUGCACGAAAGCGUGGGGAGCAAACAGG
rnacentral:rRNA from 1 species